ACUCAAAGGAAUAGACGGGGGCCCGCACAAGCGGCGGAGCAUGCGGAUUAAUUCGAUGCAACGCGAAGAACCUUACCAAGGCUUGACAUACGCAGAAAACCGGCAGAGAUGUCGGGUCCGUAAGGGCUGUGUACAGGUGGUGCAUGGUUGUCGUCAGCUCGUGUCGUGAGAUGUUGGGUUAAGUCCCGCAACGAGCGCAACCCUCGUUCCAUGUUGCCAGCACGUAAUGGUGGGGACUCAUGGGAGACUGCCGGGGUCAACUCGGAGGAAGGUGGGGAUGACGUCAAAUCAUCAUGCCCCUUAUGUCUUGGGCUUCACGCAUGCUACAAUGGCCAGUACAAAGGGCUGCGAGACCGUAAGGUGGAGCGAAUCCCAAAAAGCUGGUCUCAGUUCGGAUCGGGGUCUGCAACUCGACCCCGUGAAGUCGGAGUCGCUAGUAAUCGCAGAUCAGCAACGCUGCGGUGAAUACGUUCCCGGGCCUUGUACACACCGCCCGU
rnacentral:rRNA from 1 species